GGUGUCAGAAAAGUUACCA
rnacentral:ncRNA from 2 species